CCUACGGGGGGCUGCAGUGGGGAAUAUUGCGCAAUGGGCGAAAGCCUGACGCAGCGACGCCGCGUGAGGGAUGAAGGUCUUCGGAUCGUAAACCUCUGUCAGCAGGGAAGAACGGUCACUGUGCUAAUCAGCAGUGAAUUGACGGUACCUGCAAAGAACGCCCCGCUUAAUUCCGUCCCAGCAGCCCCGGCAAAACGGAGGGUGCGAGCGUUAAUCGGAUUUACUGGGCGUAAAGCGCUCGUAGGCGGUAUGUCAAGUCAAGGGUGAAAUCCCCGGGCUCAACGUGGGAACUGCCUUUGAAACUGGCAAACUGGAGUGUGUGAGAGGAUAGUGGAAUUCCAGGUGUAGGAGUGAAAUCCGUAGAUAUCUGGAGGAACAUCAGUGGCGAAGGCGACUAUCUGGCACAUAACUGACGCUGAGGAGCGAAAGCGUGGGUAGCAAACAGGAUUAGAUACCCCUGUAGUC
rnacentral:rRNA from 1 species